AUUGAACGCUGGCGGCAUGCUUUACACAUGCAAGUCGAACGGCAGCACGGGUGCUUGCACCUGGUGGCGAGUGGCGAACGGGUGAGUAAUGCACCGGAACGUACCCAGUAAUGGGGGAUAACACAUCGAAAGAUGUGCUAAUACCGCAUACGCCCUGAGGGGGAAAGCGGGGGAUCGUAAGACCUCGCGUUAUUGGAGCGGCCGAUGCCGGAUUAGCUAGUUGGGGAGGUAAAGGCUCACCAAGGCGACGAUCCGUAGCUGGUCUGAGAGGACGACCAGCCACACGGGGACUGAGACACGGCCCAGACUCCUACGGGAGGCAGCAGUGGGGAAUUUUGGACAAUGGGCGAAAGCCUGAUCCAGCCAUGCCGCGUGAGUGAAGAAGGCCUUCGGGUUGUAAAGCUCUUUCGCAAGGAAAGAAAACUUAUCUACUAAUACUAGGUGAGGAUGACGGUACCUUGAUAAGAAGCACCGGCUAACUACGUGCCAGCCGCCGCGGUAACAC
rnacentral:rRNA from 1 species